UCCGUAGGUGGAUCAAUCAGUCAGAGGUGAAAUCCUGCAGCUUAACUGUAGAACUGCCUUUGAUACUGUUGAUCUUGAGUCAUUAUGAGGUGGUUAGAAUGUGUAGUGUAGCGGUGAAAUGCAUAGAUAUUACACAGAAUACCGAUUGCGAAGGCAGAUCACUAAUAAUGUACUGACACUGAGGGACGAAAGCGUGGGGAGCGAACAGGAUUAGAUACCCUGGUAGUCC
rnacentral:rRNA from 1 species